GACGAACGCUGGCGGCGUGCUUAACACAUGCAAGUCGAACGGAAAGGCCCUGCUUUUGUGGGGUGCUCGAGUGGCGAACGGGUGAGUAACACGUGAGUAACCUGCCCUUGACUUUGGGAUAACUUCAGGAAACUGGGGCUAAUACCGGAUAGGAGCUCCUGCUGCAUGGUGGGGGUUGGAAAGUUUCGGCGGUUGGGGAUGGACUCGCGGCUUAUCAGCUUGUUGGUGGGGUAGUGGCUUACCAAGGCUUUGACGGGUAGCCGGCCUGAGAGGGUGACCGGCCACAUUGGGACUGAGGUACGGCCCAGACUCCUACGGGAGGCAACAGUGGGGAAUAUUGCACAAUGGGCGGAAGCCUGAUGCAGAAACGCCGCGUGCGGGAUGACGGCCUUCGGGUUGUAAACCGCUUUCGCCUGUGACGAAGCGUGAGUGACGGUAAUGGGUAAAGAAGCACCGGCUAACUACGUG
rnacentral:rRNA from 1 species